rnacentral:lncRNA from 1 species
GUUUAGGACAUUCCUGCGAUCUGAGGGUCUUUCUGCUUCUAAGACACCAGGCAGGGUUUAAGGCAAGGGGAGGAUGAGGCAGGGCUCCCGUGCGGGUGGCCCCCGCCCCGCUCCGUCUGGCCCAGGCCAGGUUGCUCCCCCGCAGGCGUCUGGAGAGGACUGGGCGCUGCCACCUCUGGCGGGUCUUUGUGCGAUGCUUUUCCAGAGGCACUGUUCCAGUUUGUACCUCCAGGGACAGUUAUGAGCCAGUGGUGUUGUACGGAAGGAGAGACGGAUACUCUGGACCUGCAGCGGAUGGAAUGCUCCCCUGCCACUCUUAUGUUGAGAGCUGAUCUUUAACGUGAUGGCAUUGGGAAAUGGAGGUUUUGGGAGUGAUUAGAGAAUUAGAGUAGACCCCCCCCCCAAGAAUUGGAUAAGGACCCCAGAAAGUUAUCUUGCCUUUUACCUUGUGAAGAGUCAGUGGAAAGGCAUUGUCUGUGUGAUCCAGAAAGUGGGUCCUCAUCUGUGAAUUCUUUGAUGUUGGACUCCCAAGCUUCCAA